rnacentral:rRNA from 1 species
CGGGUGAGUAACGCGUGAGGAACCUGCCUCAAAGAGGGGGACAACAGUUGGAAACGACUGCUAAUACCGCAUAAGCCCACGGCUCGGCAUCGAGCAGAUGGAAAAGGAGCAAUCCGCUUUGAGAUGGCCUCGCGUCCGAUUAGCUAGUUGGUGAGGUAACGGCCCACCAAGGCGACGAUCGGUAGCCGGACUGGGAGGUUGAACGGCCACAUUGGGACUGAGACACGGCCCAG